rnacentral:rRNA from 1 species
UACGUAGGGUGCGAGCGUUGUCCGGAAUUACUGGGCGUAAAGAGCUCGUAGGUGGUUUGUCGCGUUGUUCGUGAAAACCGGGGGCUUAACCCUCGGCGUGCGGGCGAUACGGGCAGACUUGAGUACUGCAGGGGAGACUGGAAUUCCUGGUGUAGCGGUGGAAUGCGCAGAUAUCGGGAGGAACACCUGAGGCGAAGGCGGGCUACUGGGCCGAUACUGACGCUGAUGUGCGAAAGCCAGGGGAGCGAACGGG